rnacentral:rRNA from 1 species
AUGCAGCGACGCCGCGUGAGGGAUGACGGCCUUCGGGUUGUAAACCUCUUUCAGCAGGGACGAAGCGCGAGUGACGGUACCUGCRGAAGAAGCACCGGCCAACUACGUGCCAGCAGCCGCGGUAAUACGUAGGGUGCGAGCGUUGUCCGGAAUUACUGGGCGUAAAGAGCUCGUAGGCGGUUUGUCGCGUCGUCUGUGAAAUUCUGCAGCUYAACUGCRGGCGUGCAGGCGAUACGGGCAGACUUGAGUACUACAGGGGAGACUGGAAUUCCUGGUGUAGCGGUGAAAUGCGCAGAUAUCARGAGGAACACCGGUGGCGAAGGCGGGUCUCUGGGUAGUAACUGACGCUGAGGAGCGAAAGCGUGGGUAGCGAACAGGAUUAKAUACCCUGGKAGUCCACGCCGUAAACGGUGGGUACUAGGUGUGGGUUCCAUUUCACGGGAUCCGUGCCGUAGCUAACGCCUUAAGUACCCCGCCUGGGGAGUACGGCCGCAAGGCUAAAACUC